UACGUAGGGCGCAAGCGUUGUCCGGAAUUAUUGGGCGUAAGAGCUCGUAGGCGGUUUGUCGCGUCUGCUGUGAAAACCUAAGGCUCAACCUUGGGCUUGCAGUGGGUACGGGCAGACUAGAGUGCGGUAGGGGUGACUGGAAUUCCUGGUGUAGCGGUGGAAUGCGCAGAUAUCAGGAGGAACACCGAUGCGAAGGCAGGUC
rnacentral:rRNA from 1 species